AUUGAACGCUAGCGGGAUGCUUUACACAUGCAAGUCGAACGAGUGGCGGACGGGUGAGUAAUAUAUCGGAACGUGCCCAGUAGCGGGGGAUAACUACUCGAAAGAGUGGCUAAUACCGCAUACUAUUGGAGCGGCCGAUAUCUGAUUAGCUAGUUGGUGGGGUAAAGGCUCACCAAGGCGACGAUCCGUAGCUGGUCUGAGAGGAUGACCCGCCACACUGGGACUGAGACACGGCCCAGACUCCUACGGGAGGCAGCAGUGGGGAAUUUUGGACAAUGGGCGAAAGCCUGAUCCAGCAAUGCCGCGUGUAUGAGAAGGCCUUCGGGUUGUAAAGUACUUUUGGCAGAGAAGCGGUAUCUGAAGAAGAAGCACCGGCUAACUACGUGCCAGCAGCCGCGGUAAUAC
rnacentral:rRNA from 1 species